GACGAACGCUGGCGGCGUGCUUAACACAUGCAAGUCGAACGGAAAGGCCCUGCUUUUGUGGGGUGCUCGAGUGGCGAACGGGUGAGUAACACGUGGGUAACCUGCCCUUGACUUUGGGAUAACUUCAGGAAACUGGGGCUAAUACCGGAUAGGAGCUCCUGCUGCAUGGUGGGGGUUGGAAAGUUUCGGCGGUUGGGGAUGGACGCGCGGGUUAUCAGCUUGUUGGUGGGGUAGUGGCUUACCAAGGCAUUGACGGGUAGCCGGCCUGGGAGGGUGACCGGCCACAUUGGGACUGAGAUACGGCGCAGACGCCUACGGGAGGCAGCGGUGGGGAGUAUUACACAAUGGGCGGAAGCCUGAUGCAGCAACGCCGCGUGCGGGAUGACGGCCUUCGGGUUGUGAACCGCUUUCGCCUGUGACGAAGCGUGAGUGACGGUAAUGGGUAAAGAAGCACCGGCUAACUACGUG
rnacentral:rRNA from 1 species